rnacentral:rRNA from 1 species
GACGAACGCUGGCGGCGUGCUUAACACAUGCAAGUCGAACGAUGAAGCCGGAGCUUGCUCUGGUGAAUUAGUGGCGAACGGGUGAGUAACACGUGAGUAACCUGCCCUUGACUCUGGGAUAACUGCUAGAAAUGGUAGCUAAUACCGGAUACGACCCUCGGCGGCAUCGCCAGGGGGUGGAAAGAAUUUCGGUCAAGGAUGGACUCGCGGCCUAUCAGCUAGUUGGUGAGGUAACGGCUCACCAAGGCGACGACGGGUAGCGGGCCUGAGAGGGUGACCGGCCACACUGGGACUGAGACACGGCCCAGACUCCUACGUGAGGCAGCAGUGGGGAAUAUUGCACAAUGGGCGCAAGCCUGAUGCAGCAACGCCGCGUGAGGGAUGACGGCCGUCGGGUUGUAAACCUCUUUUAGUAGGGAAGAAGCGAAAGUGACGGUACCUGCAGAAAAAGCACCGGCUAACUACGUGCCAGCAGCCGCCGCGG